rnacentral:rRNA from 1 species
GAUGAACGCUAGCGGCAGGCCUAACACAUGCAAGUCGAGGGGCAGCGCGGGGCGGCAACGUCCUGGCGGCGACCGGCGGAAGGGUGCGUAACGCGUGAGCGACAUGCCCGUUGCCCGGGGACAACCGGUGGAAACGCCGACUAAUCCCCGAUGGGACGGAGGCCCUCAUGGGUCUCUGUUGAAAGUUACGGCGGCGACGGAUUGGCUCGCGUCCGAUUAGCUUGUUGGCGGGGUAACGGCCCACCAAGGCUACGAUCGGUAGGGGUUCUGAGAGGAAGGUCCCCCACAAUGGAACUGAGACACGGUCCAUACUCCUACGGGAGGCAGCAGUGAGGAAUAUUGGUCAAUGGGCGGAAGCCUGAACCAGCCAUGCCGCGUGCGGGAAGGAGGCCCUAUGGGCUGUGAACCGCUUUUGCCUGGGGGCAAUAAGGGCGUCGUGCACGUCCGAUGAGAGUACCAGGCGAAUAAGCAUCGGCUAACUCCGUGCCAGCAGCCGCGGUAAUACGGGGGAUGCGAGCGUUAUCCGGAUUCAUUGGGUUUAAAGGGUGCGUAGGCUGUGCGUCAAGUCAGGGGUGAAAUUCCGGGGCUCAACUCCGGGGCUGCCCUUGAUACUGUCGCGCUGGAGUGCGGAUGCCGCCGGAGGAAUGAGUGGUGUAGCGGUGAAAUGCUUAGAUAUCACUCAGAACACCGAUUGCGAAGGCAUCUGGCGAAUCCGUAACUGACGCUGAGGCACGAAAGCGUGGGGAUAGAACAGGAUUAGAUACCCUGGUAUUCCACGCCGUAAACGAUGAUGGCUAACCGCCGGCGACACACUGUCGGUGGCCAAGCGAAAGCGAUAAGCCAUCCACCUGGGGAGUACGUCGGCAACGAUGCAACUCAAAUGAAUUGACGG